CGUUCCCGGGCCUUGUACACACCGCCCGUCACACCACGAAAGUCGGUAACACCCGAAGCCAGUGGCCCAACCGUAAGGAGGGAGCUGUCGAAGGUGGGAUCGGUGAUUGGGGUG
rnacentral:rRNA from 1 species